rnacentral:rRNA from 1 species
GGUUUUACCCGAAGGCGCUGUGCUAACCGCAAGGAGGCAGGCGACCACGGUAGGGUCAGCGACUGGGGUGAAGUCGUAACAAGGUAGCCGUAGGGGAACCUGCGGCUGGAUCACCUCCUUUCUAAGG